rnacentral:rRNA from 1 species
UAUGGAGGAUGCAAGCGUUAUCCGGAAUGAUUGGGCGUAAAGCGUCCGCAGGUGGCUGUGUAAGUCUGCUGUCAAAGAGCGAAGCUCAACUUCGUAAAGGCAGUGGAAACUACACGGCUAGAGUGCGUUCGGGGCAGAGGGAAUUCCUGGUGUAGCGGUGAAAUGCGUAGAGAUCAGGAAGAACACCGGUGGCGAAGGCGCUCUGCUAGGCCGCAACUGACACUGAGGGACGAAAGCUAGGGGAGCGAAAUGGG